rnacentral:rRNA from 1 species
ACGGGAGGCAGCAGCUAAGAAUAUUCCGCAAUGGACGAAAGUCUGACGGAGCGACGCCGCGUGGAUGAUGAAGGCCGGAAGGUUGUAAAAUCCUUUUAUGACUGAGGAAUAAGUGGAGUGAGAGAAACGCUUCAUGGUGACUGUAGGUCAUGAAUAAGCAACGGCUAAUUACGUGCCAGCAGCCGCGGUAACACGUAAGUUGCGAGCGUUGUUCGGAAUUAUUGGGCGUAAAGGGCAUGUAGGCGGUCAUGAAAGUCUGUAGUGAAAUCCCUGGGCUUAACCCAGGAACUGCUAUGGAAACUGCAAGACUAGAAUUACUGAAGGGCAACUGGAAUUCCAAGUGUAGGGGUGAAAUCUGUAGAUAUUUGGAAGAACACCGAUGGCGAAGGCAAGUUGCUGGCAGAUAAUUGACGCUGAGGUGCGAAGGUGCGGGGAGCAAACAGGAUUAGAUACCCUGGUA